AAAUUUCAGUUUGUUGAGGAGCUGUAAUAUCUAUGGACCAAUCCCUCCUAAUAUUUCAGAAAUGAAACAACUUCAGAUUUUAGGUCUCAGCUUCAAUUGAUUGGAAGGAAAUAUUCCAGAUUUAAGAGGUCUAUCAAAGUUGGACUACAUGUAUGUGACACGCAACCUACUCAAUGGAAGUAUUCCAGCCUGGAUCAUGAGCAGAAAUGAUCACUAUUGAUAGACAAGGAUCCAAGCAAGGCAAUUUCCCUGUUCUGGUCUGCCAUAAAUGCUAGGGACUGGGUUGAUAGUGCCUUGCAAGACAUGGCAAUUGUGAUGAAACAAUUGGAUCGAUUUGAUGAGGCAAUUGAGGCUAUCAAAUCUUUUCGUCAUCUCUGCCCUUAUGAUUCUCAGGAAUCUCUUGACAAUGUGUUAGUUGAACUCUACAAGGUAAAACUAAAACCAGU